AACGAACGCUGGCGGCAGGCUUAACACAUGCAAGUCGAACGCAUCCUUCGGGGUGAGUGGCAGACGGGUGAGUAACGCGUGGGAACGUGCCCUUCAGUUCGGGAUAACCCAGGGAAACUUGGGCUAAUACCGGAUACGUGCGAGAGCAGAAAGAUUUAUCGCUGAAGGAUCGGCCCGCGUCUGAUUAGCUAGUUGGUGGGGUAAUGGCCCACCAAGGCGACGAUCAGUAGCUGGUCUGAGAGGAUGAUCAGCCACAUUGGGGCUGAGACACGGCCCAAGCUCCUACGGGAGGCAGCAGUGGGGAAUAUUGGACAAUGGGCGCAAGCCUGAUCCAGCCAUGCCGCGUGAGUGAUGAAGGCCUUAGGGUUGUAAAGCUCUUUCGUCCGGGACGAUAAUGACGGUACCGGAAGAAGAAGCCCCGGCUAACUUCGUGCCAGCCGCCGCGGUAACAC
rnacentral:rRNA from 1 species